UGGAGCAGGCUGCUGUGUUGGUAGUGGCAGCGAAUCGGGACUGAGCAAUUAGCUGCCCCGCCUUCAUCACUGCUGCAGUUCCAGUCCCCUUCCCCCCUUCUCUCUCUUUUCUCUCAUGCUGUGGAGGACUGGAGUAGUCUGGAGCCUGGAAGCUGCUUAAAAAUAAAAACUGUGAGAAAUAGUUUAAAAAGCUUAUAAAAGUGGCUAAAACCCAGUGAGAUAGGAGGCUGCAAACCCCCCAAUUUCAGUGAAGCUGCGGGGAAGUGAACGGAAAGGCAGUAAAUGCUGUUACUAACUAGAGCUGGUGAGAAGACCCAGCAGAGAUUCCAGUUCAUUCCAGAGGUCAGGUUUUUUGUUGGGGACCAUCAGAGCCUGGGGAGACAGAGUCUGGUGGAUCUUCGAAAAAGUAGAUGGCGAGCCACCCAAAGAGUGAACUAUUCUUGUGAGAUCUCAUCUUCACUACAAACUGGUGAAGUAACAGGAUAAAAGAUUAAAAGACUUUCUAGUUUUCUUUUUCUAACAAGCACCAGCACUUUUAUUACUUUUGUUUAUUCAUUUAUUUGUUUUCCGAGUUUUCUGAAUUGUAUAUGGGUUUUGUGUUUUGUUAUUUCAUUUGAUAUAAAGUGAUAUAGGUGAUAAAGGGUUAAAACAGAUAUAAGUCAUAUUAAACAAACAAGAGAUAAUCCUAGCUGUCUUAAAUAAUAAUAACCAAUUACAUCUAAAACCAAGAUAAUUAAUACAUCCUAAACUAUAAUAAUUUGAUUAAUUAAGCAUAAUUGAGUACAA